rnacentral:lncRNA from 1 species
GUUUUGGCUCACUCACACAACAAGUCUUUUUAUUAAUCAGAUACAAAGCAGCAUAGCUCCAACAUCAGCUGACCCUAGUGGCUUUUGGCAUGACUGUAGACUAAACCAUGCAAAAUGCACACCUUCACAAAUCCGGUUCUUGCAAGGGUUCAGGGAUCAGAUGCUGAGAGUAGUGAGGGGAUUCUCAAUGUCUAGACAUAAUGGUCUGUUCAUAAACUCAUGCUUUGCUCACUGCCAAACUGAGAGGCAGGACACUUGGUUCGCUGAUGAUUCUCCUGUCAUAAGAAAAAAGGUUAGUAAUAAACCUCAAAUCUUAUCCCAACACAAACAGAAAGCAAAAGGCUGUUAUUGACUUUGAAUAUGGAAUCAUGCAGGCUGUGGCAAUAGCUGUUGGAGAUUGGUAUUUUGAUAGAGCAGAAGUGAAGUUAGUUGAUUGUCCUUAUCCAUGUGACAAGAGCUGCCACAACUUGGUGUUCAGAUGAUUUAUCUACUUGAUUCUUCCUUAUAUACAUACUUAGAAAGCUUAGCUUCUCUCAAAUGGAGAAGCUUACUAUUUUACCAAUGCCUCAUUGGAAGAAAAUGUAUGAUUGAUUUGGAAAAACCAUAAUAAACUCCAAAACAAAUACAUAAGUUGGCUCAUAAGAGUUCAAAAUGUAAUCACAGAGUAAUGAUUCCUUCUUCCUUUGUUUUUCUUCUUCUCUACUUGCCACUGCAAGUAGUUGAUAAAUGUCAACAUAUUGGUCCCACACAGAAUUUGAUUUCACAAGUAUCCAAGAAAUGCAGGUAAUGGAUAAGAAUAAAAAAGCAAUAAAAUAGUAAAAAAAAAAGGAUAAAGAAAAAAAGUGAAAAGAGAAGAAUAUUACAGAGUGGUGUUGAUGAUAUACUUUGACACCCUGGUAUUAGGGUGAGUGACAGCUAUCUAGUGUUCCCCACUUUGUAUGGUUUUUUCCUUUCCACCUAAUCAUUUCCUUUUUAAGUUCUCUCUCAGUCAAACUGACUUCUUCAACAACAACUCAACAAGUUUUGUGAACUUGAACCCUGUCCAUUACUUUUUUUUUUGUUUUCUUGAAGCUUCUUAUCAUGGCUUCUGAUUCUCAGACCGCAACUGCAACUACAUCUGAAAAGGUAAGCUAGCUCAGAUAUUCUCACUAUGUUCCAUAGAAUCUUUAUUACAUAUGUUUUAUAUGUUAUUUAUGCUUUUAAGCUCCAUAAAUAGAUUUUCUGUAUCAUGUUUUGGUUCUAGUAAGAAUCAGUAUGCUUGUUUUGUACCUGAAACUAGGAACGUUAAGUUAGAAUAAAUAAAAACUUGUUUUGGAAUGUUCAAACAUGGUUUUAACCCUCUUGUUCUGUAAGAAUCUGGAGAAUUCUUGAGCAAUAAUUAGAAGAAACUUUUUUUUAAAAAAAAGUUGUAGAUUAUUAUAGAACAUAUGGAUGUUAACAGAAACCAUCUUUGUCUGUCGUUUUCUAGAAAACUGUUCUGACACUAUUACAUAUGAUUAAAAUUCCAAAAUAGUUAGUUAGUGGCUUUUUUCUAUCUAAGAAGAGAAUAAUAAAGAGGGGUUUUACUAUUAUCUGAUGCAGCCAGUGGAGAACGAGGUGAACGAGGAGGCUAAGUUGAUGGAGAAAGAGAUUGUUUUGGAGGAAACUACUGAUGUUGUGAAGGAUAAACCGGUUUCAGAUUCAAGCCUGACUGUUACUAAGGAGGAGAGCAUCAGUCAAACUCCUGCUGCAGACGUAAAGGAGGUUGCAGCAGUUGUGAACGAAGAGGAAUCUACACAGAAGGGGGCAGAUGAAAAUGGUGAGAAGAAGGUAGCUGAACAAGUGGAAGUUAAAGAACCAAUUCUUGUGAAAGAGGGUGUUGAAGAAGUUAAGGUUGAAGCUGGUGAUGCAGAGAAAGGAAAAGAUGAAAAUGGUGAGGAGAAGAUAGCUGAAGAAGUGGAGCUUAAGGAACCAACCCUUGUGAAAGAGAGUGUUGAAGAAGUUAAGGUUGAAGCUGGUGAUGCAGAGAAAGGAAAAGAUGAAAAUGGUGAGGAGAAGAUAGCUGAAGAAGUGGAGGACGUUACCAUUUGAUGCUGAGCGUUUCAAGUGUGAACUAAGAUCCAUGUAACAUAAAAGAUGGUCUCUGUCUUUGUCAUAAUAAGAGACUGAAUUAAUUUUUUUUUUUAAAAGGGAAUUCAAAAAUAAACGUGAAUCCAGCCAUGAAACAUUUUUCAAAUAAUUAUAUACAAAAAGAAACUCAGAAAAGCUUAUUCCUUUUCUACAAAGAUCGGUUCUUUUUAUUAUAACACUUGAACGUGUCUGGCUUUAAAGUUUGUUCCUUUCUUCUCUAUCUCUCACUCCCAGGGAUCUGUUUCUUUGCUUUCACUCUUCUCUUCUAGUAAGAGAGUGAGAGACAAUGAGCAAGCUUCUGUUGUUGGUAGACUUUAUUGUAGUGCUAGGAACUCAAGCAAAUGAGUAUUUAGAUUUCAAUGUGACAGAGAUAGACCGCAUUGAGGAGCUAGAGUUUGGAUUCUCCAAAUACAGCUCAAAUUUGAACCCUUUAUUAGUUGGUCUCACUCUCAUCAGAGGAGCUGAUUCUGGAGCUGGUACUCUCUCUCUCUCUCUCUCUGCUUCUCUCAUUAGAUCUCUCUCUUUAUUUACUUUUUAUGAGUUUAUCUUCAACUAACAUUCUUCUCAGCUUGUUUCUCUGUUGUUAGAUUUUAACUUUGUCUUUACGUUUUACUGUUAUGUAUUAUUAUUCUUCACGGUUCCUCUAAUUGUUUAUUUUUCCUGUUUUAUUGCUUAGAAAAAUGUAAUUUAUAUGUUAUUGUUUUUGAUUUAGAGCUUAGCAGCAGUGUAUCUGUUAUAUUGUGAUGUGUUUACUAGAAAAAAAUCAUAUUUUUUUAAUGAAUGUUAAAUUUUUCAAGACAAAAAAAACACUUUUGUACAAUAGAUGUGUCAUUCUUUUACUUUUAAGAAAAAAAUCAUAACAGCAAAUAUAAUCUAAUUUUUGUUUUACUUGGUUAUAUCUUAUCACAGUUUGUUUGGAUGGAACAUUACCUGGAUAUCACUUGCACCGUGGGCGUGGAUCUGGAGCUAAAAGCUGGCUAAUUCAAUUAGAGGUUUAGUGAAAUGCUUUUUUUUUUUUGUCUAUGAAAGCUACUGUUUAUAGGUCUUCAUUGUUAAAAUGUUUUAUUAUGAUAAAUAGGGAGGUGGAUGGUGCAACAAUGUUAGGACCUGUGUAUACAGGAAGAAGACUCGGCGUGGUUCAUCUAACUACAUGGAGAAGCAGCUUCAGUUUACAGGAAUACUGAGUGAUAAAGCUCAAGAGAAUCCUGGUUUAGUCUCUCAAAUCUUUUUUCUUGUGAUGUGACCAAAUAUAAUGUAAUUUUGAGGAUUAUUGAUCCUCAUUUUUUUUUUUUUUUGUAGACUUCUUUAACUGGAAUAGAGUUAAGCUUCGUUACUGUGAUGGCGCUUCUUUCAGUGGAGAUGGUCAGAAUCAGGUUCGCAUCAAUAGACUAUUGAGUUCAUGAAUUGAUCUUAGUCUUUUUUAUAUUUGAGCAGCUUUGUGUAACAUCUGUGAACUAAUGCAUAUGUAACUCUUUACCUUAUAACUUUUUUUCUCAGGCUGCACAGCUUCAGUUUAGAGGAGAGCGUAUCUGGAGAGCUGCCAUAGCUGAUCUGAAAGCCAAAGGAAUGCGAUACGCCAACCAGGUUUUUGACACUUAACCUUCUCUCAGGAUCCAAGGCAAGAGCUGUUUUUAUUUUAAUUCUCUGAACUGUUUUUUAUAUUCUGUUAAAAGGCACUUCUCUCUGGAUGUUCUGCUGGUGGUUUAGCAGCUAUUUUACGCUGUGAUGAGUUUAGGAACUUGUUCCCUGGUUUCACCAAGGUCAAGUGCUUGAGUGAUGCUGGCUUGUUCUUGGACACGUUAGUUUAAUUUCCCCUCCCAAACUCAAACGCUGUUUCUUUUGUCCUUGAUUCUUCAGUAAACCAUUACUAAUGGUUUGUUUUUGUUAAUUGUAGAGCUGAUGUUUCUGGUGGCCGCACAAUCAGGAACUUAUACAACGGUGUAGUAAAUUUUCAGGUGAGAUUCAGCUUCUUUUACUUUUUAACAUUUGAAGAGGAUAAGAAAGCUUCUUGACACAUUCUUGGACUUUACCAUAAUAUGCAGAGUGUGAAGAACAACCUGCCGCGUAUGUGCACAAACCAUCUCGAUCCAACCUCGGUAAUCUUUUAUUCUUUCUCUCAUCUUGAUGCUGUUGCAAACCACAAACUUACUAAGAUUUGUCUGUACAGUGUUUCUUCCCACAAAAUCUGAUAAGUCAGAUGAAAACUCCACUUUUUAUUGUCAAUGCAGCAUAUGAUACAUGGCAGGUAAUGUUCUCUUUUUCUUUUCCUCUUUUGACAUUGGUGGUUUUGGCUCACUCACACAACAAGUCUUUUUAUUAAUCAGAUACAAAGCAGCAUAGCUCCAACAUCAGCUGACCCUAGUGGCUUUUGGCAUGACUGUAGACUAAACCAUGCAAAAUGCACACCUUCACAAAUCCGGUUCUUGCAAGGGUUCAGGGAUCAGAUGCUGAGAGUAGUGAGGGGAUUCUCAAUGUCUAGACAUAAUGGUCUGUUCAUAAACUCAUGCUUUGCUCACUGCCAAACUGAGAGGCAGGACACUUGGUUCGCUGAUGAU